GAUGAACGCUAGCAGAACGCCUAACACAUGCAAGUCGAACGGAUUUGUUGACUUCGGUUAACAAGUUAGUGGCAAACGGGCGAGUAACACGUGCUUAAUUUGCCCUGGAGAGGGGAACAACUACAGAGAUGUAGCUAAAUCCCCAUACGCUCAUAGAAAUGAAAAUACUAUGAGGAAACGAGCAAUUGCUCUAGGAGAAGGGCGCGGCCUAUCAGGUAGUUGGUGAGGUAAUAGCUCACCAAGCCUAUGACGGGUAACCGGUCUGAGAGGAUGUCCGGUCGCAAUGGAACUGAGACACGGUCCAUACCCUUACGAGGGGCAGCAGUGGGGAAUAUUGGACAAUGGGCGAAAGCCUGAUCCAGCGAUUCUGCGUGAAGGAUGAAGUUUUGCGGGGUGUAAACUUCUUUUCUGGGGGAAGACGAAUGACGGUACCCCAAGAAUAAGAGACGGCUAACUACGUG
rnacentral:rRNA from 1 species